GGUUAAGCGACUAAGCGUACACGGUGGAUGCCCCGGCAGUCAGAGGCGAUGAAGGACGUGCUAAUCUGCGAUAAGCGUCGGUAAGGUGAUAUGAACCGUUAUAACCGGCGAUUUCCGAAUGGGGAAACCCAGUGUGUUUCGACACACUAUCAUUAACUGAAUCCAUAGGUUAAUGAGGCGAACCGGGGGAACUGAAACAUCUAAGUACCCCGAGGAAAAGAAAUCAACCGAGAUUCCCCCAGUAGCGGCGAGCGAACGGGGAGCAGCCCAGAGCCUGAAUCAGUGUGUGUGUUAGUGGAAGCGUCUGGAAAGGCGCGCGAUACAGGGUGACAGCCCCGUACACAAAAAUGCACAUGCUGUGAGCUCGAUGAGUAGGGCGGGACACGUGGUAUCCUGUCUGAAUAUGGGGGACCAUCCUCCAAGGCUAAAUACUCCUGACUGACCGAUAGUGAACCAGUACCGUGAGGGAAAGGCGAAAAGAACCCCGGCGAGGGGAGUGAAAAAGAACCUGAAACCGUGUACGUACAAGCAGUGGGAGCACGCUUAGGCGUGUGACUGCGUACCUUUUGUAUAAUGGGUCAGCGACUUAUAUUCUGUAGCAAGGUUAACCGAAUAGGGGAGCCGAAGGGAAACCGAGUCUUAACUGGGCGUUAAGUUGCAGGGUAUAGACCCGAAACCCGGUGAUCUAGCCAUGGGCAGGUUGAAGGUUGGGUAACACUAACUGGAGGACCGAACCGACUAAUGUUGAAAAAUUAGCGGAUGACUUGUGGCUGGGGGUGAAAGGCCAAUCAAACCGGGAGAUAGCUGGUUCUCCCCGAAAGCUAUUUAGGUAGCGCCUCGUGAAUUCAUCUCCGGGGGUAGAGCACUGUUUCGGCAAGGGGGUCAUCCCGACUUACCAACCCGAUGCAAACUGCGAAUACCGGAGAAUGUUAUCACGGGAGACACACGGCGGGUGCUAACGUCCGUCGUGAAGAGGGAAACAACCCAGACCGCCAGCUAAGGUCCCAAAGUCAUGGUUAAGUGGGAAACGAUGUGGGAAGGCCCAGACAGCCGGGAUGUUGGCUUAGAAGCAGCCAUCAUUUAAAGAAAGCGUAAUAGCUCACUGGUCGAGUCGGCCUGCGCGGAAGAUGUAACGGGGCUAAACCAUGCACCGAAGCUGCGGCAGCGACGCUGAUGCGUUGUUGGGUAGGGGAGCGUUCUGUAAGCCUGCGAAGGUGUGCUGUGAGGCAUGCUGGAGGUAUCAGAAGUGCGAAUGCUGACAUAAGUAACGAUAAAGCGGGUGAAAAGCCCGCUCGCCGGAAGACCAAGGGUUCCUGUCCAACGUUAAUCGGGGCAGGGUGAGUCGACCCCUAAGGCGAGGCCGAAAGGCGUAGUCGAUGGGAAACAGGUUAAUAUUCCUGUACUUGGUGUUACUGCGAAGGGGGGACGGAGAAGGCUAUGUUGGCCGGGCGACGGUUGUCCCGGUUUAAGCGUGUAGGCUGGUUUUCCGAGCAAAUCCGGAAAAUCAAGGCUGAGGCGUGAUGACGAGGCACUACGGUGCUGAAGCAACAAAUGCCCUGCUUCCGGAAAAGCCUCUAAGCAUCAGGUAACAUCAAAUCGUACCCCAAACCGACACAGGUGGUCAGGUAGAGAAUACCAAGGCGCUUGAGAGAACUCGGGUGAAGGAACUAGGCAAAAUGGUGCCGUAACUUCGGGAGAAGGCACGCUGAUAUGUAGGUGAAGUCCCUUGCGGAUGGAGCUGAAAUCAGUCGAAGAUACCAGCUGGCUGCAACUGUUUAUUAAAAACACAGCACUGUGCAAACACGAAAGUGGACGUAUACGGUGUGACGCCUGCCCGGUGCCGGAAGGUUAAUUGAUGGGGUCAGCGCAAGCGAAGCUCUUGAUCGAAGCCCCGGUAAACGGCGGCCGUAACUAUAACGGUCCUAAGGUAGCGAAAUUCCUUGUCGGGUAAGUUCCGACCUGCACGAAUGGCGUAAUGAUGGCGGGCUGUCUCCACCCGAGACUCAGUGAAAUUGAACUCGCUGUGAAGAUGCAGUGUACCCGCGGCAAGACGGAAAGACCCCGUGAACCUUUACUAUAGCUUGACACUGAACAUUGAGCCUUGAUGUGUAGGAUAGGUGGGAGGCUUUGAAGUGUGGACGCCAGUCUGCAUGGAGCCGACCUUGAAAUACCACCCUUUAAUGUUUGAUGUUCUAACGUUGACCCGUGAUCCGGGUUGCGGACAGUGUCUGGUGGGUAGUUUGACUGGGGCGGUCUCCUCCUAAAGAGUAACGGAGGAGCACGAAGGUUGGCUAAUCUCGGUCGGACAUCAGGAGGUUAGUGCAAUGGCAUAAGCCAGCUUGACUGCGAGCGUGACGGCGCGAGCAGGUGCGAAAGCAGGUCAUAGUGAUCCGGUGGUUCUGAAUGGAAGGGCCAUCGCUCAACGGAUAAAAGGUACUCCGGGGAUAACAGGCUGAUACCGCCCAAGAGUUCAUAUCGACGGCGGUGUUUGGCACCUCGAUGUCGGCUCAUCACAUCCCGGGGCUGAAGUAGGUCCCAAGGGUAUGGCUGUUCGCCAUUUAAAGUGGUACGCGAGCUGGGUUUAGAACGUCGUGAGACAGUUCGGUCCCUAUCUGCCGUGGGCGCUGGAGAACUGAGGGGGCUGCUCCUAGUACGAGAGGACCGGAGUGGACGCAUCACUGGUGUUCGGGUUGUCAUGCCAAUGGCACUGCCCGGUAGCUAAAUGCGGAAGAGAUAAGUGCUGAAAGCAUCUAAGCACGAAACUUGCCCCGAGAUGAGUUCUCCCUGACCCUUUAAGGGUCCUGAAGGAACGUUGAAGACGACGACGUUGAUAGGCCGGGUGUGUAAGCGCAGCGAUGCGUUGAGCUAACCGGUACUAAUGAACCGUGAGGCUUAACCUU
rnacentral:rRNA from 1 species